CAGAGUUCAUGCCCUUCGGGGUAGAUCUCCCACCCUUGUGUAUUUAUACCUUUGUUGCUUUGGCAGGCCGCUUGGCUCACGCCUAGCUACUGGCUCCGGCUAGUAAGUGUCUGCCAGAGGAAAUCAAACUCUGAAUUUUAAUGUCGUCUGAGUACUAUAUAAUAGUUA
rnacentral:misc_RNA from 1 species